UACGUAGGUGGCAAGCGUUGUCCGGAAUUAUUGGGCGUAAAGCGCGCGCAGGCGGUCCUUUAAGUCUGAUGUGAAAGCCCACGGCUCAACCGUGGAGGGUCAUUGGAAACUGGGGGACUUGAGUGCAGAAGAGGAAAGCGGAAUUCCACGUGUAGCGGUGAAAUGCGUAGAUAUCGUUUGGAACGCCAAUGGUGAAAACAGGUCGCUGGGAGUGUGCUGACGCUGAGACACGAAAGCCAGGGGAGCGAACGGG
rnacentral:rRNA from 1 species